rnacentral:lncRNA from 10 species
CCCGGGUUCACGCCAUCUUGCCACUAAACCUGAUUUACCAACAUAACCUGUUUCUGGCCAUGCUGUGAAUCUGCAUUCUUUACUGUGUCCUUGGGAUACUAGGUCUCUGAUCAAGUGCCACAUCUUUAGAGAAGCUUUUCCAAACAACCGAUUAUGAAGUACACAUUAACAAUGAAGCCUCUUUUCAAGUAAAGAAGUAACUUUUCAGACAUGAAUUGGAAUAAGAUAAGGCCAACUUGCUCAACUACAUUCCUUACUAAAACAUAAUAACUAAAAGCUACAGUGUGCAUUUCAUGUUUCACAUGUUCUGUUGCAGUGCCAAGACUAGGUUUAAGCAAUUCAGCUGCACAGUUACCAACCACUUCUUCUUGGAAGAUUUACCUACAAUCUAACUGAUAUACUUAACAAAAUUAUAUUUUUAAUAUUGAUUGUACAAUUUUUUACUCCUUAAUUGUAUCUGACAGCUUCUUAUACUUUAAACUUGAUCAACAGUAAAUUGUGAAGAGAGUAACUAUACACCACAUGGCUUGACAAUAUCCAAACAUCAUUCUUGUUCUACAAAAGUUACAAAUGGU